rnacentral:rRNA from 1 species
GACGAACGCUGGCGGCGUGCUUAACACAUGCAAGUCGAGCGAGUGAGUUUUUCGGAACGAUCUAGCGGCGGACGGGUGAGUAACACGUGGGCAACCUGCCUCAUAGAGGGGAAUAGCCUCCCGAAAGGGAGAUUAAUACCGCAUAAAAUUAUCGAGUGGCAUCACACGAUAAUCAAAGGAGUAAUCCGCUAUGAGAUGGGCCCGCGGCGCAUUAGCUAGUUGGUGAGGUAACGGCUCACCAAGGCGACGAUGCGUAGCCGACCUGAGAGGGUGAUCGGCCACAUUGGGACUGAGACACGGCCCAGACUCCUACGGGAGGCAGCAGUGGGGAAUAUUGCACAAUGGGGGAAACCCUGAUGCAGCAACGCCGCGUGAGUGAUGAAGGUCUUCGGAUUGUAAAGCUCUGUCUUUGGGGACGAUAAUGACGGUACCCAAGGAGGAAGCCACGGCCAACUACGUGCCAGCAGCCGCCGUAA